CCCCCUCAGAAUCACCCGAUGGGGCCGUGGAGAAUUUUCCAGUUAGUCUGUGAGAAGAGUGUGCUCAUGUUUACCAUAUAACCUAAAUACAGCUUCCGAUCUCACCCUGCCAAUAGCAAAUCGCUGCUAAUUUAUUCAUCCUAGUUCUCCCAUGAAAAUUCCUUUCGGGUGGAACCAAUCGCCCACAAAGCGCUGCACCCCGGGAGCACCCGCGAGGACAGCCAGGGCGGCCGCAGUGAAUGAGACGUGUAAUCUCCGCAGGCUGGUGUCCCCGCUCCGGCAGUGACCGGCACCAGCUGUUCUGGGGCAGACAGCCCACAGCGGCGAGCUGCAGCGUACAGGGCAAUGUCGGUCGCAUUUAGUUUUUACUAAUUAAGAGGUAAUAGUUAAGCCUCC